rnacentral:lncRNA from 1 species
UUCAAACAUAAUUUUCUUAAUAUAAUUUAUAAGUCCUACUUUCUGAGUUGAUUUAUUUUCUUUUAAAAAAUCACUACUUAUACUUAAUUUUUUAUUUAUUUCAAUUUCAAAAGUGUCACCCACUUCAUAGAAUUUCGUACUCAAGACACAUAAGAUAAAACGUAAAGCCUGUAUUUAUCCAUGUUCAUAGUUACUAUUUCAUUCGUUCUAUAUACUAUAUAAGAGACCGUUAGUACAGCACAAACAAUACUAUAUAAAUUUCCUCAGUACAAGCAACCAUCUAAAAUAAGCUGGCUGCAGCUCCAAACAAAGAACCUUGGCAGAUUAGAAUUUAGAGGGAGACUAGUGUUAUGAACCAGCCUCAGCCCAAUGCCGAUACCUUUACGAAUGUGACACAACUAGUUAUUGGGCCGAGAAGAAGCAACAAAACUGGAAGGCCUUUGCAAAGGCUGAUUUGGGAUCCAGGCCCAUUUAACAACUAGCUAAAAGGAUGAUGGAUGAGAAGAAGUGGUUUAUGCAAAUUGUUAAAGAAAAGAGUGUUUCCUCUCAUCUCCCUUCUUAGUCUAAGCUUCUCAUCCCCUUUCUUCUACUUGUGUUCUUCAAUUUCCAUUUAGUUCUUAAAUUCCUAUGUAAUUCCAAUUACGAGUUAAUGAAAUAGAGUUGUCGGUUGUUUGAAGUUGAAUUGAGUUGGUCUUGUUAUUGAGUUUGUUACAUUGGUGCUUUCAUUGAUUCCAUCUAUCAUGGUGGACCUAUCUCAAUCCCCUGUCAUGAGUCGCUUCAGUGGUGACAAUCCUCUAGAGUGGGUGAUUCAGACAGAGAAGUAUUUCAUCUUCUACGACAUAUUAUCGGAGCAUAAACUGUCUUGGGCUUCAUUCUAUUUGGAUGGCGAGGCUUUGGAAUGGUAUCGUUGGCUUUUCCGAAACAAACAACUUGCGGGUUGGGAUCAUUUCGUAGAUAAAUUGUUUAUUCGUUUUCAGAGUCGGAAAGAUCCUUACAAUCGAUUCGCCUUUCUCCGGCAGUUUACCACAGUGGAUGAUUAUCAGGCACGGGCUGCAACUAUUUCGUCAUGGAGCACUAUCCCUAACUUGCCCUCGCCUCAGUCGUGGAAUGAACCAUCGGACUACAACAAGGUGAAAUCUGCCCACCAGGUGUUCGGUGAAAAGUCAAAUAAGACACCUGAUAUUGUUGUAGAUGUUGAGAAUGCAACAAUGCUAAUUAAAAAUGGCAGUGCUGAAAUGUUGGACACUCAAGCAAAAGAGAAGAUUUUUCAUUCGAUUUUGGAUGAAACUAAAGAGGAGGCGGAGUUCCCUGUUCCACAACACGUUAGUGAACCACUUGUAUACAACAACAAUGAGGCACACAAGGUGUUCGAUGAAUUUUCCAUAGGAUGUAAGGAUGUUAUUCUAGAAUCACACAAGGUGCUUACGAUUACCACAUAUACUAUUGAGGAAAAUGACUAUGUUAUUGAUGUUGGAAAUGAAGACAAGAAUGAGGAAGAAGAAGAAGAAGAAGAAAAGCUUUUUGCCAUUGAAAAUAAAAUACAACAACUAGUUCCUGCAUUUGUGGGAAUACGCCCAUUAUGGAUUGAUUCUACAUUUUCUACUUUCGGUGACUUUGCCAUGUUUAAUAUGAUACAUAAACUUGGGAUAACCCGAUGCUUGGAGGAGAUGUCUGAAAUGCUUUCAACUUGCAGAUAUGACCAACUUAUUAAUAGAGGUAUAAUUGAUCACUUUAGUAGUUUUGGUCAUGCUUCACUUCUCUUAACUUUGCAUCUGUUUCCACCUGAUCAAUUCGGAUUAGCGUUUCCAUUUGAUCCUGGCUCUCGUUCACUUACCAUGUUCCUUAGAGUUACAAGAAACUAUGUAUUUUGUGUCGCCUUAGACAACUUGGAUCAUAAUAAGUUAAUUAUGUCAACCUUAUGGUAUUCUUGCAUUUGGGUUGGUAAAGGACAAGAGCAAUGUCUUCCUGGUAUCUUGUUGCCUAAAUCGAGAGAGUUCAGUAGGGCGGAGAAAAUGCAGGGGUUGCUUAGGGCAUUUGCCGCACGAUAUUCAGAGCAGUUUUCUGAUAUUCUUGUCAACAAAGAUGAUGUGCUCUUGUUGACUAUAUUUGGUGUAGUUCAUAUAUCAAAGACAACUUUGUCUUAUCUAGGCUUUGGUCCUGGUCCUUAUCUUGCUUGUGAGAUAUUUGCUAAGUUACCUGGUAAGACAAUGGACGUAUUUCGCCAGCAGUUAUAUCUUGAUGAAGAACUUGCACCGCAGAGAACUGACCGACAGAUUGCCUCACUUUAUCACCUAACUCCUCGAAUGAUUCAACGUUGUUACACUGAUAGCGUCUUUGUCGAGAGUAAUUUCUUGCAAGCAAAGUUCAUAUUUCAGAUUGUUUGGGUCCUACUGUUGACAGAGCACAAGCUUAGGCCAAGCAUAAUUACUGGUUCAACUUUGAGCUCAAUUAUGUGUGAUAUAGUUGCAACUUAUUCAUGGACUGAGCAACAAAGAUUUAUUGAGGAUUAUCUUGAUUACAUUUUUAUGGAGUAUGAGUGUGGCUUUCCAGUAAAAGAAUUCCAUUCUCAUGCUGUCAAGGCGGAAAUCUCCGAAUUUAUUAUGUCAGCAAUUUUUUUGUGCAAGAUUUGGGAGCGGUUAAUGAAGAACCAGUUAAGGGCUGCACAAAGGCAGAACAAAUGGAUGGUUGAUGGUUGUGCAAGAAGUAUACAAGAUCAUAUUUUAUAUUUUGCCAACAUUGCACAGUUUGUCUUGACUACAUUUGGCAGGGAGUGUGCUACUAACAUUGUUCCUUACUCGAACCUUGAGGACAAGGUUCCUAUUGAGGACGGGAGUAUUGUUAUGAACCAGCCUCAGCCCAAUGCCGAUACCUUUACGAAUGUGACACAACUAGUUAUUGGGCCGAGAAGAAGCAACAAAACUGGAAGGCCUUUGCAAAGGCUGAUUUGGGAUCCAGGCCCAUUUAACAACUAGCUAAAAGGAUGAUGGAUGAGAAGAAGUGGUUUAUGCAAAUUGUUAA